UACGUAGGGUGCAAGCGUUGUCCGGAAUUAUUGGGCGUAAAGAGCUCGUAGGCGGUCUGUUACGUCGGCUGUGAAAACCUGGGGCUCAACUCCGGGCCUGCAGCCGAUACGGGCAGACUAGAGUUCGGCAGGGGAGACUGGAAUUCCUGGUGUAGCGGUGAAAUGCGCAGAUAUCAGGAGGAACACCGGUGCGAAGGCGGUUCUCUGGGCAUACCUGACGCUGAGGAGCGAAAGUGUGGGAGCGAACAGG
rnacentral:rRNA from 1 species